CCUACGGGAGGCAGCAGUGAGGAAUAUUGGUCAAUGGGCGGGAGCCUGAACCAGCCAAGCCGCGUGAGGGAAGAAGGUACAGCGUAUCGUAACCUUCUUUUGUCAGGGAACAAAGGCGGGGACUAGUCCCCGGAUGAGGGUACCUGAAGAAAAAGCAUCGUCUAAAUCCGUGCCACCAGCCGCGGUAAUACGGGGGAUGCGAGUGUUAUCCGGAUUUAGUGGGUUUAAAGGGUGCGCAGGCGGCCUGUUAAGUCAGUGGUAAAAGCCCGGGGCUCAACCCCGGCGAGCCGUUGAAACUGGCGGGCUGGAGUUGGAGAGAAGUACGCGGAAUGCGCGGUGUAGCGGUGAAAUGCUUAGAUAUCGCGCAGAACCCCGAUUGCGAAGGCAGCGUACCGGCUCCACACUGACGCUGAGGCACGAAAGCGUGGGUAUCGAACAGGAUUAGAUACCCCAGUAGUC
rnacentral:rRNA from 1 species